UUUAAUUUUUAUUUUGGUAUAUGCAGAAUGGGUGCUAUGCAGAAAAUUAACUUGUUUGGCCCCAGCUGCAUCAUACAGUGGAUUUCUUCUCUUGAGGGACAUUAGUAUUCAUUUGGCAUAUUUUUAUCAUUUGUCUUGAACUGGAAUGUCCUAAUUCAUAGAAAGUUACCUUUACAGUUAGAUUCCAGGUUGUGUAUUACUCCCUUCUUUUGGAGCCUUUUUUUUUUCUUUUUAAUCUCACUUUAAUAUUUUAUUUGUCCAGAGAAAAAUUGAGAAUGACUCUCUAGCCUAGUGAUUGGGUCACACUCAAGUUCCAAUCACUAUAUAACCAUUUUAACAAGACUAUUUUAAGGGUCUGGAAUGAGAGGAAUGCCUCUUCCAAAGCAAACUAUGGUAUUCAGUGAUUAUGGAGCUCUACUACCAAUCUUGAUUGACAAACCAACUUCAGGAUUUGUUUGAAGCUAAGUUUCUGAUAUUCCCAAAUGGUGUCCUAACAUUUCAGAGGUGUGUCUAAGCAUCAGAUUUGAGGGUACACGCAUUAUUUCUCUUCCCCUAUUUUACUCUGAUUGGCAGCAAAGUCCUCUUAAUAAACCCAAUAUCAGAACGUUGGAACAUCUUGUUUUGGAUAAAGUGAAAUGAGUCCAUUGGCAUUUCAUAUAUUAAUUUUUCUUUUUUAUUCAUCAAACUAUUUAGCAAACCAGAUCUGAAUCAUUCUGAUGUAAAUUAUUCAUUGAAGGAAAAUUUUCUAGUCCCAUUUGAAGACAACCUGGACUACAACUGCCUCUGUUUUUUUCUUUCUUCAAUUGUGAAGAAGAUAUAGAACCUCCAAUGUAUUUGAAGUUCGUCUCCAGAACAACAGGAAAACUGAGAUUCAGCAGAUUCCCAGAUGGGACUACAGAAUGUAACAGAGUGUUGGCUCUUCAGGGCAGAUCUUUCAACUGAAGCCUAUCAACCGAUCAGCUGAAUUGAACUGUUCAACUGUUCAGCAGUAUUUCAACUGAUGCAGUGCUUCCCCUUUCAAGUCCUCUGGUAAACAUCUGAUUUGUCCUAAAUCAUGAUUACCCUUCUCUCUGAAAUGCACCAGAGAGGUUCAGGCAACCUGUGAUAUCGUCUAAAUUGCUUUUCAUUCUGUCAAAACUAACGAUUUGAAUGAUAUCUUACCAAUCCUGUGCAAUACAGCCCACAACAAGGCCGUGUACUUUAUAAAAUCAGUGUGAUUAUUAGUUGUCCUGAGAUACUUCUGAAAAGCAUAUUAACUACCCAUCAUUUCACUGUCUUUGCUAGUAUGCCCUCUGGGUAUGGGAUAUACACAAUUCAGAGAAGGUUAAUUGGAGAAAUUCAAGCUCUGGGCUUUUUGUCAUUUUCUUCUUUAUAGCACAAACAUGCAAUGCUAUAUUGGCAGCCUUUCAAGUCCUCUGAAAAACUGAAAUACUUAUUUAUGGUGAUACCUGAUUUUUCAUUUGCAACCAAUUUCCUAAACCUGUAAGGCUUGUUUGAGCUUCAUAUAUACAUAUAAGGAGAAGAGAAAGACAGUUCAGUCCU
rnacentral:lncRNA from 1 species